GAUGACCCCUCAGUGUCCUUUCCAGAAACUCUUGAAAAUUUUGCGUCAUCUCAUGAAUUAUCUAGUCUCUUAACUCAGCACUAGAGGGAGCAAGACCGCAGAAGAAAAUCUACAAAAUGUGAGCUUCACAAUUGUUACAAAGGGUUGAAAAUUAAGAAAAAAAUGAGAAAAGGUGGCUGAAAGGUGGUAGAAUGUGCGACAGCAUGUGAAGGUUUUGUGACAUGAAUAUGUUGAUGUGAUGUACCCAUUCAAGUCCUUCUCAACUCCUGGGGUGCUACUGCCUU